UCAUCACCCAGUUACUUGCCACUUUUGGAUUUACCUUUAUUAACUGCAGUAGCUGUUAAGUCGUGUUCAACAUGGAUGGUAAAGUACUUGAGGUUUUUUGUGGAAAUCUUGAAUCAAGUGCAGUUCAGACCAUUCGUUGAUUGAGACAGCAUAGAUAAUGAUGCCAUUGGCCUGCCUGUACUGCAAAACCCCUUACCACCUGCAAAGCUCAGUAGGUAUGUCUGUACGUUGAUGGAACAUUGUGUACUACCAUGGAUCAUUGAAUGCUUUUACUUCAUGGACAUUUGGGGUAACACUAUUUAUCUUUUCUCUUCUUCACUUAUAUACACACCUGUAUAUAUAUAAAUAUAUGUGUGUGUAUGUAUAUACAUCUCAUAUAUAUGCAUAUACCUGUAUGCUUAAUUUGAGAUUGGGCAUGGCCAGCAUCUUUUUCUUUAUACACGAUGUGUUUGGAAUAUUAAUAUGUUAAUGAUAUUAAACAUAUGUAGGUAGCACUUUCAGUGCUCUUGAUAUUGUUGCCGGAAAAAGCAGAUUAAAAUUAAUUGUUUCUCGGAAUGAACAUAAUUAUCCUUUUAAUUAACAGGAUCUAUGGUGCAGUGUUUGCUUUCUUCAUAAAGUAGCAUCUAAUCAGCUCUAUUUUUGGUUCUUAAUGUUGGUAAAACGCUUUUAGAUUUCUUAUUGUUUGAGAACAAUAUGCUAUAGUAAAAAGCACAGCAUUCGGCUUGAGCUCUGAGGUUUAGGUCAUUAAAUGAUCUAAAUCUUUUUCUGGAAACUAAUCUUAAGACUUUAGAUUAACAAUACAAAAAUUUAUUUGUUCAGGCUGAGUUGGAAGGUUAAUUUAAACUUUUAUAAGUAACAUAUAUAUGUUUUUUUCCUAUGUAUAUUAUAUUAUGAAAGAUUACAGCAUUGAAUAAAACUCCUUCUAUUAAACAAUGUAUAAACAAUGGUAAGAUAACACAUUACAUUUAAUUGUUUUUAAGAUAGAUAGUUGGCAAUGUGUCAUUACAAAUGUACAUUGCUUGGAUCUAAUCACAUAUCAACUGGAAUGCUAGUUAUCUUCUUGAAUUUGUUUUGUACUUUUACAUCUUCCACACCAGUAUAAUUAAUUUCUUUAUGUUUGUGCAGAACUAAUAACUUAGAAGUUGUAUUAACCCAGUAUUUUGAUACUGAUAUUUUUAACUGGUGACAACAGUCACCAGCAAUAGUUCAACUGAUGUUCAUGCAUUAAUUUAAAGUAAAAGGCAUUGUAAAUUAAACCUUUUGUACCUUUUUUCUGGUAUUAUGCACUUAUAUUUUUUCACUAAAGACGAGUGCACACUUCCAUUAUGCUGCGUACUGUCCCCUUAAUCGAAUCAAUGAUGUUGGAGUCGUACCAUGCAUAUGAUGCUAAAGGUAUGUUUCAUAUUUAUAUUUUGCUCUUCACCCAUUAAUUUUUGAACACCAUUCUGUACUUUUAUCCAUCGGAACAUUAAAAUGUAUUGAAAAAUAAUUAUUAGCAACGUUGUUUAAAAUUAAGUGGAUUGCAAGAGUUUUGUACGUAGUUGUUCCCAUUUGUGUCAUCAAUCAUAUCUAACAUGGAACAUAUUCAAAACCGGAUCCUAUGUCAGUGGUAGAACAUAUUCGAAAAAAAAAAUGGAACUUGAAAAACUGAAAAAAAAAACAACAAACUUAUGCAACAUGUUCAAAAAUGAUGCUGUGAAGUUCUAGAGGAUACGUUUUCAAAAUAUCUUACACAUGAUGACAGUGUCGAAUCAACAAGCUAUGCAUCGUUACUUUCCUCUGAAGAUAGAUAUUUUUAUUUUUUUGAAAAUAAAUAAAAACACCAUUUUUUACAUCAAUCAUUUUUGCUUUAUACUUUAGCGUUGUAAUUUUUGCAAAUCUAAAUACUUUAUGGAUGACAACAGAACUUCAAAGUUGAAACGCAGAAAGAUAUUUAAUCAUGCAAAAUAAAUGAACAAAAAUGUCAUUAUAGUACGAUAUGAUUCGCAUUAUGCGUUCUUUGAUAGUAUUCGAUUGACAAUAAACUAAUCUCUUCUGCAAACUGUUGAUUUCAUUGAUAAGCCAGUCAUUUAUCAUUUAAAAAAAAUAGAAUCUUUACUUUUAUUUUGCUACAGCGAUUUAGUUAUUAAUAACGUCAACUUAACUAUUCUUUUUUAAAUUUUUGAUUCAUAUUUAUACAAAGGCCAGUUUGUUU
rnacentral:sRNA from 1 species